rnacentral:rRNA from 1 species
GCCAAUGUCCAUACCAUGUUGAAUACACCGGUUCUCGUCCGAUCACCGAAGUCAAGCAACAUCGGGCAUGGUCAGUACUUGGAUGGGUGACCGCCUGGGAACACCACGUGAUGUUGGCU